rnacentral:rRNA from 1 species
CCCUUAGAUGUUCUGGGCUGCACGCGCGCUACACUGAUGCGCUCAACGAGUUUACGACCUUGCCCGGAAGGGUUGGGUAAUCUUUUUAAAACGCAUCGUGAUGGGGAUAGAUUAUUGCAAUUAUUAAUCUUUAACGAGGAAUUCCUAGUAAGCGCGAGUCAUCAGCUCGUGCUGAUUACGUCCCUGCCCUUUGUACACACCGCCCGUCGCUCCUACCGAUUGAAUGGUUUAGUGAGAUCUUCGGAUUGGCGCCACUGCGGCUCAGCAAUGGGCUCGGUGGAUGCCGAAAAGUUGAUCAAACUUGAUCAUUUAGAGGAAGUAAAAGUCGUAACA